AGAACGAACGUUGGCGGCGUGGAUUAGGCAUGCAAGUCGAACGAAUGCCAAGGGGGUAACUCUGAGGCGGAAGUGGCGAAAGGGGCAGUAAUGCAUGGGUAACUUACCCUGGAGUCAGGCAUAGCCGUUCUAACGAACGGGUAAUUC
rnacentral:rRNA from 1 species